rnacentral:rRNA from 15 species
GUGGCCCCCAUCUAAGUGUCCUGGAACGGACCGUCAUAGAGGGUGAGAAUCCCGUAUGUGACUGGACAGGCACCCUUUGUAAAGCUCCUUCGACGAGUCGAGUAGUUUGGGAAUGCUGCUCUAAAUGGGAGGUAUAUCUCUUCUAAAGCUAAAUAUAGGCCAGAGACCGAUAGCGCACAAGUAGAGUGAUCGAAAGAUGAAAAGCACUUUGGAAAGAGAGUUAAAAAGCACGUGAAAUUGUUGAAAGGGAAGCGCUUGCAAUUAGACUUGCCCGCAGUUGUUCAAUUG